UACGUAGGGGGCGAGCGUUGUCCGGAAUGACUGGGCGUAAAGGGCGUGUAGGCGGCCAUAUAAGUCUGGAGUGAAAGUCCCGUUUUUAAGGUGGGAAUUGCUUUGGAUACUGUAGGGCUUGAGUGCGGAAGAGGUAAGUGGAAUUCCCAGUGUAGCGGUGAAAUGCGUAGAGAUUGGGAGGAACAUCAGUGGCGAAGGCGACUUACUGGGCCGUAACUGACGCUGAGGCGCGAAAGCGUGGGGAGCGAAC
rnacentral:rRNA from 1 species